AUGUUCUGGCCGCUGUGUGACAUUACCUUCUCAUGGCCCUGGCCCUGCCCGCCUAGGCCUAGGCGUGAACCACUUUCUGCAGCAGGAGGCUUGCGGCUCCCCUUCCCAGCCGUCGGGGAUCCUGGUCGAAGCCCGGGGAAACCAGAGCAACGCGCUGGUGCGGCUGCCAAGGCCCAGCGCACCGGGGCGCGCGGGGGUGGAGGGCUCUUGCCCCUCCCAGGUCUUCUUCGCCCAUCCUUCGUCUCUCAGCCUCGAGCCUGGCUGGGUCCGCCAGGCGCGGGGCCAGAGUUUGGGGAGAUCACACCACCCCGUAAAGCCCACUCUGCUUCCUUGAGGUCAGAGGAGGGAGGUUGGACAGAAGGAAGAGCUGGAAGUGGGGAAUCUGGGCGGGGGUGGGGUGCGGUGCUCACAGCCGGUGAAGGGGCGGGACUGCGAGGACAGAUCCUCGGCCGACCUCCCGGGAGCAGGCGGCCGGCUCCUGGAGCCACUGACAGCCCCUUUCGUCCUCUCUGCUCCGCGCCCUCUCCAGCCCCCUUCGCUCUGGCUCAGCUCAGCCACGGCUCCAGCUCCCCAAGCCCCGCCCGGCUUCCCGCAGCAACAGUUGCGGGGCUCCUAGCCCCGACUCCUGCGUCCGCGCACCGCCCCCUCCCCAGCGGUGCCGCGGCGCCUGGCGAAAAGGGGGGCCCGGAGGGCUCGGCGACCCGGGAGACGAACGUCUUGGGCGCCUCGCCCGCGUCCUUCCCUCGCGUCCGCCGCGCGCGCCUGGCACCCCGGCCUCUCUCCCACACCUCGUCCCCGCCCGCCUGGGUCUUAAUCCCCAGGCCGGGCGCCCCAGGUUCCCGACCCCCAGCUCCACCCCCCUCGGGCUCCGAGCGUCCUCCAGACUCUCCCCGGUGCCCCGCGUCUGUCCCCGCCGUCCUUGCCCGUGAGGCGCCGGAGCCCAGCCCCAAGUUGGCGGCGAAGUUGGCGCCCCCCGCUCGCCGCCCGCCACUCACCGGGGGGAAGGGGCGCUGCGCCCGCGCCCAGAGCCCGCGCCGGCCGCCUCCCGCGCGGUACGAGUCCCGGCGACUCGGCUCCGCGCGCGGCGCGCUCUGUCCUAGCUUGGCGGGCGCCUGGGCAGGGGCGCCUGCGGGGCCGGAG
rnacentral:lncRNA from 1 species